GGCAAGAUAGUCCCUGGAGAAGAACUAAAGUACGUCAACAGCCUUGUCAGCGGAAAGACACUCCGUUGCAGUUACUGAAGAUUUGCGAGGUGACCAGUUUCCAGACAUUGGUUCGCUCCUGCUUGUGUACGAGAUUGGCCGAGACUAAAAAAACUGUAGUGUGCCACCUUAAGGUUUUAGUCAUUGGCUUGUAAGGCAAGAUAGUCCCUGGAGAAGAACUAAAGUACGUCAACAGCCUUGUCAGCGGAAAGACACUCCGUUGCAGUUACUGAAGAUUUGCGAGGUGACCAGUUUCCAGACAUUGGUUCGCUCCUGCUUGUGUACGAGAUUGGCCGAGACUAAAAAAACUGUAGUGUGCCACCUUAAGGUUUUAGUCAUUGGCUUGUAAGGCAAGAUAGUCCCUGGAGAAGAACUAAAGUACGUCAACAGCCUUGUCAGCGGAAAGACACUCCGUUGCAGUUACUGAAGAUUUGCGAGGUGACCAGUUUCCAGACAUUGGUUCGCUCCUGCUUGUGUACGAGAUUGGCCGAGACUAAAAAAACUGUAGUGUGCCACCUUAAGGUUUUAGUCAUUGGCUUGUAAGGCAAGAUAGUCCCUGGAGAAGAACUAAAGUACGUCAACAGCCUUGUCAGCGGAAAGACACUCCGUUGCAGUUACUGAAGAUUUGCGAGGUGACCAGUUUCCAGACAUUGGUUCGCUCCUGCUUGUGUACGAGAUUGGCCGAGACUAAAAAAACUGUAGUGUGCCACCUUAAGGUUUUAGUCAUUGGCUUGUAAGGCAAGAUAGUCCCUGGAGAAGAACUAAAGUACGUCAACAGCCUUGUCAGCGGAAAGACACUCCGUUGCAGUUACUGAAGGUAAAACGACAUCUUCAGUGGGCUAGAUUUGCGAGGUGACCAGUUUCCAGACAUUGGUUCGCUCCUGCUUGUGUACGAGAUUGGCCGAGACUAAAAAAAACUGUAGUGUGCCACCUUAAGGUUUUAGUCAUUGGCUUGUAAGGCAAGAUAGUCCCUGGAGAAGAACUAAAGUACGUCAACAGCCUUGUCAGCGGAAAGACACUCCGUUGCAGUUACUGAAGAUUUGCGAGGUGACCAGUUUCCAGACAUUGGUUCGCUCCUGCUUGUGUACGAGAUUGGCCGAGACUAAAAAAACUGUAGUGUGCCACCUAAUUACG